CCUACGGGUGGCUGCAGUGAGGAAUAUUGGUCAAUGGGCGGGAGCCUGAACCAGCCAAGUCGCGUGAGGGACGACGGUCCUAUGGAUUGUAAACCUCUUUUGUCGGGGAACAAAGGCGCCCACGGGUGGGCGGAUGAGUGUACCCGAAGAAAAAGCAUCGGCUAACUCCGUGCCAGCAGCCGCGGUAAUACGGAGGAUGCGAGCGUUAUCCGGAUUUAUUGGGUGUAAAGGGAGCGUAGACGGCCAUGCAAGCCAGGGGUGAAAGCCCGGGGCCCAACCCCGGGACUGCCCUUGGAACUGGAUGGCUGGAGUGCGGGAGGGGCAGGCGGAAUUCCUGGUGUAGCGGUGAAAUGCGUAGAUAUCAGGAGGAACACCGGCGGCGAAGGCGGCCUGCUGGACCGCGACUGACGUUGAGGCUCGAAAGCGUGGGGAGCGAACAGGAUUAGAUACCCUUGUAGUC
rnacentral:rRNA from 1 species